rnacentral:rRNA from 1 species
GACUUUCAACAACGGAUCUCUUGGCUCUCGCAUCGAUGAAGAACGCAGCGAAAUGCGAUACGUAAUGUGAAUUGCAGAAUUCAGUGAAUCAUCGAAUCUUUGAACGCACCUUGCGCCCCUUGGCAUUCCGAGGGGCACACCCGUUUGAGUGUCG